GAUGGAUGUCAAGUUUCCAAGAACGACAACGAAAAUAGCAAGAUGCGAUACGGAAUACGAU
rnacentral:rRNA from 1 species